rnacentral:misc_RNA from 1 species
AAGUCGUAACAAGGUUUCCGUAGGUGAACCUGCGGAAGGAUCAUUAUAGAGGUUGGUUGGGUAACACCUUCCAAACCUCCCACCCUACGUUUACAUUACCUUUGUUGCUUUGGUAGGCCCGUCUUUGGACCGCCGGCUUCGGCUGGCCGGUGCCUACCAGAGGAUCCAAAACUCUGUUUAAUUGUAUUGUCUGAGUACUAUAUAAUAGUUAAAA